UGAAUCCGCGCGGGAGAGUUCUGCCGGGGCCUCGAAGCCCUGGUCAGGACGCCGAAGGAGCAAGUCCCUCCCUUGAAUCUCUCAGGCCCCGUACCGCGCGGGCGAG
rnacentral:ncRNA from 2 species